rnacentral:rRNA from 1 species
GAGUUUGAUCCUGGCUCAGAUUGAACGCUGGCGGCAGGCCUAACACAUGCAAGUCGAGCGGUAACAGGUCCAGCUUGCUGGAUGCUGACGAGCGGCGGACGGGUGAGUAAUGCAUAGGAAUCUGCCCGGUAGUGGGGGAUAACCUGGGGAAACUCAGGCUAAUACCGCAUACGUCCUACGGGAGAAAGCAGGGGAUCUUCGGACCUUGCGCUAUCGGAUGAGCCUAUGCCGGAUUAGCUAGUUGGUGAGGUAAUGGCCCACCAAGGCGACGAUCCGUAGCUGGUCUGAGAGGAUGAUCAGCCACAUCGGGACUGAGACACGGCCCGAACUCCUACGGGAGGCAGCAGUGGGGAAUAUUGGACAAUGGGCGCAAGCCUGAUCCAGCCAUGCCGCGUGUGUGAAGAAGGCCUUCGGGUUGUAAAGCACUUUCAGUGGGGAAGAAAGCCUUGGGCCUAAUACGCUCGAGGAAGGACAUCACCCACAGAAGAAGCACCGGCUAACUCCGUGCCAGCAGCCGCGGUAAUACGGAGGGUGCGAGCGUUAAUCGGAAUUACUGGGCGUAAAGCGCGCGUAGGCGGUCUGAUAAGCCGGUUGUGAAAGCCCCGGGCUCAACCUGGGAACGGCAUCCGGAACUGUCAGGCUAGAGUGCAGGAGAGGAAGGUAGAAUUCCCGGUGUAGCGGUGAAAUGCGUAGAGAUCGGGAGGAAUACCAGUGGCGAAGGCGGCCUUCUGGACUGACACUGACGCUGAGGUGCGAAAGCGUGGGUAGCAAACAGGAUUAGAUACCCUGGUAGUCCACGCCGUAAACGAUGUCGACUAGCCGUUGGGGUCCUUGUGACCUUUGUGGCGCAGUUAACGCGAUAAGUCGACCGCCUGGGGAGUACGGCCGCAAGGUUAAAACUCAAAUGAAUUGACGGGGGCCCGCACAAGCGGUGGAGCAUGUGGUUUAAUUCGAUGCAACGCGAAGAACCUUACCUACCCUUGACAUCGUGCGAACUUGGUAGAGAUACCUUGGUGCCUUCGGGAACGCAUAGACAGGUGCUGCAUGGCUGUCGUCAGCUCGUGUUGUGAAAUGUUGGGUUAAGUCCCGUAACGAGCGCAACCCUUGUCCUUAUUUGCCAGCGGGUAAUGCCGGGAACUCUAAGGAGACUGCCGGUGACAAACCGGAGGAAGGUGGGGACGACGUCAAGUCAUCAUGGCCCUUACGGGUAGGGCUACACACGUGCUACAAUGGCCGGUACAAAGGGUUGCGAAGCCGCGAGGUGGAGCUAAUCCCGAAAAGCCGGUCUCAGUCCGGAUCGGAGUCUGCAACUCGACUCCGUGAAGUCGGAAUCGCUAGUAAUCGUGAAUCAGAAUGUCACGGUGAAUACGUUCCCGGGCCUUGUACACACCGCCCGUCACACCAUGGGAGUGGACUGCACCAGAAGUGGUUAGCUUAACCCUCGGGGGAGCGAUCACCACGGUGUGGUUCAUGACUGGGGUGAAGUCGUAACAAGGUAGCCGUA